rnacentral:rRNA from 1 species
CCUACGGGAGGCAGCAGUGGGGGAUAUUGCACAAUGGGGGAAACCCUGAUGCAGCGACGCCGCGUGGGCGAAGAAGUACUUCUGUAUGUAAAGCCCUAUCAGCCGGGAAGAAGAAAUGACGGUACCUGAGUUAUCAGCACCGGCCAAAUACGGGCCAGCAGCCGCGGUAAUACGUAGGGUGCAAGCGUUAUCCGGAUUUACUGGGUGUAAAGGGAGCGCAGGCGGCACGGCAAGCCUGAUGUGAAAGCCCGCGGCCCAACCGCGGGACUGCAGUGGGAACUUGCGGGCUGGAGUGCCGGAGAGGUAGGCGGAAGUCCUGGUGUAGCGGUGAAAUGCGUAGAUAUUAGGAGGAACACCAGUGGCGAAGGCAGCAUACUGGAGAGUAACUGACGUUGAGGCUCGAAAGCGUGGGGAGCGAACAGGAUUAGAUACCCCUGUAGUC